AGCGAUAUCUGAACAUUUGAUCGAGGAAAACAGCUACAAAAAAAUAAUGCGUAUGCUCAAAUUAGCAGCGUGUGCAAUUGUUAGUAACUGGCAACUAUUCUGAGCAAUGCAGAGCUCCUGAGGUUAAGGGUAAGUUAACGGUACUCUGCACACGUUUUAUGCAACCGUGCACCGCAGCACUGCUGAGAUCCAAACAACUUGUGCCUUGUACAGUGAUGGGCAUGGCGGCCUGGGGCUGCGGCAUGGACACACUGAUGGGAACAGCAGGAGUCAGCGUUUGGACAGCGGGGACCGGAGCCUCUACAGACACCACCUGCUGCUCACCCAGCACUGCAGGAGCACAGCUAACCAAGGCCUUGAUUUACCUAUUCCCCCUGUGCUCUGGGGCACAGUGGGGCUGUCCUGGGUGCUGCCGCCCUCCGGUUGCUCCGCCGCCUGAGCCACUCCCUCCUCAGCUUUGCCUUCACUCUUCCCAUCGUUUACUG